GGUGUAAGCAAGCAUAUCACAGUAAAGUUUCAUGCUUCAUGCUGCAGCACAUUGAGGAGCCCUGCUCACUAGGGGCACAUGCCGCUGUUGUCAUCCCCCCCACUUGGAUCCUACGGGUCCGGCAUCCCCAAAACCCGCUAAAGUCAAGUAAGAAGAAAAAGAGGACAUCGUUCAGGAGGAAAUCCAGCAAGAAGGGUCCUGAGGUCAGAGAACAGAACUAGGAUA